rnacentral:rRNA from 1 species
CAUCUUUUCUUGUUAGUUUUUGAAGUAUGGCCUGCCCACUGACUUGGAGUUGAAGGGCCGCGGUAUUUUGACCGUGCAAAGGUAGCAUAAUCAUUAGUUCUUUAAUUGUGAUCUGGUAUGAAUGGCUUGACGAGACAUAAGCUGUCUUAGAAGUAUUGAUUUAUUGAAUUUGGUUUUUGAGUUAAAAUUCUUAAAUGUUUUUAUGGGACGAGAAGACCCUAUAGAGUUUGACAAUUUUCCUAUUUAUUCGUUGUUUGUUUUAUUUACAUUGAGUGGGAGUGAAUUGUUUUGUUGGGGUGAUGGGAGGAAUAUUGUUUAACUCCUCUUUAUUUUUAUAUAUUUAUGUAUAUAUUUUUGAUCCAUUUAUUUUGAUUAUAAGAUUAAAUUACCUUA